ensembl:lncRNA
AUCACAGCCAUGUCAACAGUGGGCGUCAGGCUUGUAAGAGACAUGAAUUAUCUGUGAGAUUCAGUGACCAAGGCUAGAAGGUGAGAUUCCAUCUCUCAACUGCUCAUUGUACUGAAUAGAUAAUCAUGAGCUAACAUUGUACGACCUUAUUUGCUGUAACAGACAGUUAGUAUUUUAGGGAAGCAAGGCAUUUGUGUAGGAUGUGCAUUGUAGACUAUGUUCUUUGCAUUCUUUAUCAUGUAUUUCUCAUAGAAAGAGUCUGUUCUAGUCAUUCAUCUAAUCUUGUCAUUCAAUUUCUAUGGUAUUUCUCUCCAUUAGGACUGGGUAUUGGCUCCUACGGGUUACUCUGCCUUCCAAUGUGAUAGAGAAUGCCUCUACCCUCUGUGUUCCUGCAUAAACUCCACCACCCACACUAUGAUCCAACUAGUGGUGAGUUGAACCUGCCUGUGGGUGCAGUGGGGAUAUUCCUGGGAGGUCUACUGAUGAAGAGGUAUAAGCUUGGCGUUGUGUCUGGAGCCCAGCUGUCUUUCGUCACCUCCUUCAUGGCCUACCUCCUCCUCCCUCUGCAGUCUGGCACUAAGUGUGACAACGUUCAGGUGGCUGGUCUGACCGUGUCCUACAACGGGUCCCCUGGUGUACGAUGGCAGCCUGUUGUCAGAGUGUAACAGAGACUGCUCUUGGCUGGGGAGUGGGACCCUGAGUGUUCAGACAACGGCAUCACCUACACCUCCCCCUGCCUCGCAGGCUGCUCCAGCUUUACAGGUUACGGCAAGAACACGUACCAAUACUGUUAAUGUACUGAGUGUACAAAACAUUCACAGGGAUGCUGGCCCAUGUUGACUCCAAUGCUUCCCACAGUUGUGUCAAGUUGGCUUUAUGUCUUUUGAGUGGUGGACCAUUCUUGAUACACACAGGAAACUGUUGAGUGUAAAAAAAAACAGCAGCGUUGCAGUUCUUGACACAAACUGGUACCCCUGGCACCUACUACCAUAACCCGUUUAAAGGCACUUAAAUAUUUUGUCUUGCCCAUUCACCCUCUGAAUGGCACACAUACACAAUCCAUGUCUCAAUUGUCUCAAGCUGUACAAUAUAUUUUUUAAACCUUUCCCCUCUUUAUCUAUACUGAUUUAAGUGGAUUUAACUAGUAACAUCCAUAAGGGAUUAUAGCGUUAACCUGGCUUCAUCUGGUCAGCAUAUGUCAUGGAAAGAGCAGGUGUUCUUAAUGUUUUAUACACUCAGUGUAACUCAUUGGCACUGAAAUUAGCUAUUUUCAACCAUUAACUGGGGCCUUGUUGAGGCCUUAUCUAAGUAAGUAAUUGCUGAUUGACAAAGUAUUAUUUUGAUGUAUGGAAAAAAAUAUAGUAUGCAAUUCCUAUGUAGAGAAGGUUCUCUCUGGUAGUUGUUCAAUAUGACUUCAGCUUUUACAGGGCACUGUGGUAAAAUGGAUGUUUAAUCUCAGUGUGACUCCCUGUUUAAAUAAAAUAAAAAAACAUCAACACAAACACAGGAUAUGGGGUACACAUGGUAUCACAUCAUUACAUACUAGGCCCUACUGCACCUGUAUUCCAGCACCAUUCCAGCAUCUGGAAUUGACUCAACAUGUUUUAGGUGGAGGAUCAAUACAUGUGGGGGAAGAGGUGGCUGUCGAAUGUAUGAUUCUGAUAUGUACAGGUAAGUUCAUUGUGUGUGUGUAUGGGGGGGCGUCCAUGUUUGUGUCCAUACUCUGAGGUGUGUUUUGAAUAUGAAUGAGCAGCAGUGUUGUGAUGUGUCCUAUCCCGUCCUUGCAGAGUGAUCUUCCUUGGCCUCAUCACAUGUCUCAGUGGCUCCUCCUGAGGAGGGAUGGGGACACCACUAUGGGCUGAUUUCAAGGUUUUACUGCUAACCUACAAAGCAUUACAUGGGCUUGCUCCAUGACAUCUCUCUGAUUUGGUUCUGCCGUACAUACCUACCCGUAUGCUACGGUCAAAAGACACAGGCCUCCUAAUUGUCCCUAGAAUUUCUAAGCAAACAGCUGGAGGCAGGGCUUUCUCCUUUAGAGCUCAAUUUUUAUGGAAUGGUCUGCCUACCCAUGUGAGAGACGCAGACUCGGUCUUAACCUUUUAGUCUUUACUGAAGACUCAUCUCUUCAGUGGGUCAUAUGAUUAAGUGUAGUCUGGCCCAGGAGUGUGAAGGUGAACGGAAAGGCUCUGGAGCAACGAACCGUACCGCCCUUGGUGUCUCUGCCUGGCCGGUUCCCCUCUUUCCACUGGGAUUCUCUGCCUCUAACCCUAUUACAGGGGCUGAGUCACUGGCUUACUGGGGCUCUUUCAUGCCGUCCCUAGGAGGGGUGCGUCACUUGAGUGGGUUGAGUCACUGAUGAGAUCUUCCUGUCUGGGUUGGCGCCCCCCCUUGGGUUGUGCCGUGGCGGAGAUCUUUGUGGGUUAUACUCGGCCUUGUCUCAGUAAGUUGGUGGUUGAAGAUAUCCCUCUAGUGGUGUGGGUCUGUGCUUUGGCAAAGUGGGUGGGGUUAUAUCCUUCCUGUUUGGCCCUGUCCGGGGGUAUCAUCGGAUGGGGCCACAGUGUCUCCUGACCCCUCCUGUCUCAGCCUCCAGUAUUUAUGCUGCAGUAGUUUGUGUCGGGGGGGCAAGGGUCAGUUUGUUAUAUCUGGAGUACUUCUGUCUUAUCCGGUGUCCUGUGUGAAUUUAAGUAUGCUCUCUCUAAUUCUUUCUCUCUUUCGUUCUCUCUCUCGGAGGACCUGAGCCCUAGGACCAUCCCUCAGUACUACCUGGUAUGAUGACUCCUUGCUGUCCCCAGUCCACCUGGCCGUGCUGCUUCUCCAGUUUCAUCUGUUUUGCCUGUGGCUAUGGAACCCUGACCUGUUCACCGGACGUCCUACCUGUCCCAGACCUGCUGUUUUCAACUCUCUAGAGACAGCAGGAUGGUAGAGAUACUCUUAAUAAUCGGCUAUGAAAAGCCAACUGACAUUUACUCCUGAGGUGCUGACUUGCUGCACCCUCGACAAGCACUGUGACUAUUAUUAUUUGACCAAUCUGGUCAUUUAUGAACAUUUGAAAAUCUUGGCCAUGUUCUGUUAUAAUUUCCACCCGGCACAGCCAGAAGAGGACUGGCCACCCCUCAUAGCCUGGUUUCUUCCUAGGUUUUGGCCUUUCUAGGGAGUUUUUCCUAGCCACCGUGCUUCUACACCUGCAUUGCUUGCUGUUUGGGGUUUUAGGCUGGGUUUCUGUACAGCACUUUGAGAUAUCAGCUGAUAAAAAUACAUUUGAUUUGACAGACCCCACACUCAUGUCUAGAGAUCGAACUUCAGACUCCCUCCAAAACCACUGAACCCCUCAACACACCGAAAGAGAUUACGGUGCACACCCUUAGAGGGAGCCGGAACAGGAUAACUCCCUCUACCAUCACAAAGACACAGAGGAGGAGGAACUAUCCAACACCCAGGGAGAGAGAACGAGUGACCUCAGUCGAACACAGUCAGAAAGAGGAGGUGGAAGAGGCAUUAGAUAGAGGGGGAGGUUACCCCAGAGGCCAUUCCUCCUGUUCAUGUGAGUAAGAAAGAGCAGAAGGCUUCUGAUCAGCCAAAUGGCAGGCAGAGGGAGAGCUCAUAGUGAUUCACACCCACAGAGAGAAAGACAACCCACACAACCUCUUGGUUGAGAUGAACCGCACAGAGGCACAGGGCUAGCCAGUCAGCCUGCCUGCUCUGAUCCUCAAGUCAAUUGUAUUUAAAUUCAUGUUAAUUAAAGAUUUUUAUUCAAG